CGGUAGCGCCGUAAGAGGGAAAAUCAGGGAAUUCGAUGCACCUGUGCCUAGUUAGGGACAGCGGUUGGUGAUUGGAGGAUACGCUGGACAAGGCAGUACUUAAGGCCAAGUUAUUUCACAGUCUGGGAGCUCUUUCUGGCUGGAAUUGUAUGAUUGUGAAGACAUCGCGAACCUUAAAGGUUGAGAAGUGAACGGAUUAUACGGCGAAUUGAGACGACGUGAAAAAGGGGAUUGGAAGCGGCAUUGAUGUGAGUACUAAGAGCAAGCCGAAAGUGCCCUGUAUAUUGACCUGGCGUUGUGUAGAUCUCUCCAGGAGGAGGAGGGCGGCCCUACCCCUAAUAUAGCGUGGUGGGAGAGCCGAAGGAAUACUUAUUGAAGUAGUCACAACGACGACAUCACUAGCUAGGCCGCAUAUUCCAUCGCCAGAUCCGAACCAAGCGAAGUGAAGGAAGACGGGUGUCCUUUUCGUACACUGAGUGUGGUGGGUGAGUCUUCGUGCUGUGAAAACCUAUAAUUUUGACGUGGUGCUGUAUAUUGCUGUGGGUUGCUGUGUAUUGCCGUGUGUCCUGUCAGAUAAACCCCCGCCUUCACGCACUUCGUCGCGGGAGGACAAGGAGACUGCUGGUUCUAGCCUAGUUCAGUACAGUAUAUGUUGUGAGCGUGCUUCAGAUCUCCGGAGAUAGCACGGUACGCUGUGUUCAGCCCAGAGGUGAGAGUCAUUCAAAGCAAACUAACUGUGCUAUUGUGCCCAAGUUGAUACCUGUGGAGAGAAAAGGAGAGAGAGUGAAUAACACGAGGAGGAAUAGAGCGAACCCUGUACUUACAGUACGUUGUGUCCAGCCCAGAGGUGAAAGCCAUCCAAAGCAGAGUAACUGUGUUUUGUGUCCAAGUUGAUACCUGUAGAGAGGAGGAGAGAGAGUGGAUAACGCGAGGAGAAAUAGAGCGAAACCUGUACUUACAGUACGCUGUGUCCAGCCCAGAGGUGAGAGCCAUUCAAAGCAAACUAACUGUGCUAUUGUGCCCAAGUUGAUACCUGUGGAGAGAAAAGGAGAGAGAGUGGGUAACACGAGGAGAGACCGAGGAAACCUGUACUUACGCCGCUGCCUGUGGAGAAAGAGAAAGCGAGUGAGCACCCAAGGAACGAACUGUGUGAACCAGUACUUACUGUGAGCUGCAAUCAGCGAAGAGGUGAGAGCAAAACCAAGCCGAAUUAACUGUGCCUUUGUGUCCCAGCCGUUGCCUGUGGAGGAAGAGAAAGAGAGUGAGCACCCCGAGAACGAACUGUGUGAACCAGUACUUACCGUGAGUUGUAUUCAGCGAAGAGGAGGAAGAAGGAGGGCGCUACGGAUACCUAAGACUCUGGCCGGGCCCCGAGUCCCACGCCCCGGAUCCCCGUGGCCCCCUUGCUCCCUGACCUCUUCCCGGCCAUAGCCCAUCUGGAGGGCCGAGUCAGAGUUUAGUUUUAAUUGCCCUUUCCCUAUUCCCCAAGCUAUUUUUAAAUAUUUAAAUAAAGAUUGUUUUAUCACUUA